UCUGUAUUUACCUACGUGUAAUUUGGAUACUAACUAAAGUCUACUAUAUUUUAUAUUAUUUUUUAGCAGAUUUACUUUAAUGGAACACUCUUGUUCAGCAACAUAGAAAGAUCUUCGCGAAACCAAUUUGAUACAGCGAAAACAAUAACCUUAUGAUCAGCAUUUGACUCAAAACGACGCCGCAUCGCUGCAGAGCUUCACCACCUCAAAUCAAAUCCUUGCCAUGGCGAACUCGCAAGAGCAAGAUCGUCCAUGGUUCCUCUAUGCAAUGCCAUUGUUAGUCUUUGCUUUGAUCGCAUUUCAUCUCCUCGCCUUGGUGUAUUGGAUUUACAGAUUGUCGACUGAUACUAAGGUGCAACAGCAGCUGCUACAUCAACAGCUGCAGCUGCAACAACAGUCACAGAGGAGAAAAGCUCACUGAACAGAACGGUUAUGAAGUACUUCUUCGAUUUCGAUUUGUGUAAACAUUUUAAUUUUCCUCGUAUAAUUGUUGUUUUGAAAGGAAAAUAUGUGAAAUAGUGUGAGAUUUGCCUGGUGUUGUCAAAUAGCAUCUAUAGCACUAUAUGGAGUAGAAUUUAAACAAAUUGCUAUUUAUUCAUAGCACAUAAUUUGGCAUGAAGUUCUGUCAAAUGGCAACUAUAGUGUCACUAUAGCAGUAUUGUGUAAGAAAUCUAGUUUCUGGGAUGUGCGUUUGACAAUGUUGAAUAUGUGUUUUGGUCUUGGAUUUUGAGUGAAGAUGCAGUGUUAUGUGGGGUUUAUAAGUUGUUAAA